AAAAAAUCCAGCCGCAGGUUCCCCUACGGCUACCUUGUUACGACUUCGAUCCUAUCGCUAAACACAUCUUGGGAAUGCGUCUUUUAAAACGUAAAAAAAGAUCUUCAAGAUCUUGUCUUUUUUUUUACAAAAAAAGAGUCUUAACGUGUUUGAAAGACGAUACAUUACUUCUGAUGCACUCAACUCUGAGACCGUGACGGGCGGGGAGUACAAGGCUCAGGUACAUAUUCACCGUGGCGUGCUGAUCCACGAUUACUAGUGAUUCCGGCUUCAUGUUCUCGAGUUGCAGAGAACAAUCUGAACUGGGGUAAGUUUUUUGAGAUUUGCUCCGACUUUCAUCAUUGCUGCUCUUUGUACUUACCAUUGUAACACGUGUGUAGCCCAGCCCAUAAGGGUCAUGAGGACUUGACGUGAUCCCUCCCUUCCUCUAGUUUAUCACCAGCUGUAUAUUCAUUUUCAAGUGUUAUGAAAAAAAUUUUUCAUAACACUUGUGAAUGAGUAGAGGGGUUUCGUUCGUUAAGGAAAUUAAUCCAACAUUUCACAACACGAACUGACGACAGCCAUGCAACACCUGUAAUCUUCAUUUUAAACUCUAAAGUUUAAAUUAUCUUUUUUAGGGAAAGAUUAUGGAAAGAUUAUGUCAAGGACUGGUAAGGUUUUGCGCGUUGUUUCGAAUUAAACCACAUGUUCCACCACUUGUGUGAGCCCCCGUCUAUUCCUUUGAGUUUUAGUCUUGCGACCGUACUCCUCAGGCGGACCAUUUACCGCGUUAGCUAAUACAAACGUCAAAAGGAUCAUGAAUCAUGACGGCUUUUGCUAUUUAUAGAAAGGUCAUCGUUGACGGCGUGGACUACAGGGGUAUCUAAUCCCUUUUGAUCCCCACGCUGUCGCACCUCAACGUCAGUAGAGUACUAGAGAAUUGCCUUCGCUUUUGAUGUUCCUCCUGAUAUCAACACAUUUUACCUCUACACCAGGAAUUCCAUUCUCCUCUUACUUACUCAAGUUUAGGAAUCGCAGAAAAUACUUCUCAAAGUAAAGCUUUGAGAUUCUCGAUUUUGGAUUUUCUAAACCGCCUACGUGCGCUUUACGCCCAAUCAUUCCGAAUAACGCUCGCCCCUCUCGUAUUACCGCGGCUGCUGGCACGAGAUUGGCCGGGACUUUUUGCUCUUUGUUUGUCAUAAUCUUUCAAAGAGUCAAGGGCUUUACAACCAACACAGUCUUCAUCACCCACGCGAUAUAGCUGGAUCAGGCUUUCGCCCAUUGUCCAAUAUUCCUCACUGCUGCCGCUCGAAAGCGUUUGGGCCGUGUCUCAGUCCCAAUGUGGCUGAUCAUCCUCUCAGAUCAGCUAAGGAUCUUCGGCUUGGGAGGCUUUUACCCUACCAACUACCUAAUCCUACGCAAGCUCAUCUCACAACGUCUUUUAACUUUGAGUAUCCAAGAUUCAGAUUUCUCUUUCCUUGGUUUGUGAGGUAGAUUCUUACGCGUUACUCACCCGUUCGCUACUUCUCCUUUUUAAAUUUUUCAAAUUGAGAAAAAACAAAAAGAGACGUUCAACUUGCAUGUGUUAAGCUUAUCGCUAGCGUUCAUUCUGAGCCAGGAUCAAACUCA
rnacentral:rRNA from 1 species